GUCGGGAUAGCUCAGCUGA
rnacentral:tRNA from 1 species